UACGUAGGGGGCGAGCGUUGUCCGGAUUUAUUGGGCGUAAAGAGCUCGUAGGCGGUUGGGUAAGUCGGGUGUGAAAACUCAGGGCUCAACUCUGAGACGCCACUCGAUACUGCCCUGACUCGAGUCCGGUAGGGGAGCGUGGAAUUCCCGGUGUAGCGGUGAAAUGCGUAGAGAUCGGGAGGAACAUCUGUGGCGAAGGCGGCCAUCUGGACCAGCACUGACACUGAGGCACGAAAGCGUGGGGAGCAAACAGG
rnacentral:rRNA from 1 species